AGAGUUUGAUCCUGGCUCAGGACGAACGCUGGCGGCGUGCUUAACACAUGCAAGUCGAACGGUUUAUAAGGGCUUGCCCUUAUAGAUAGUGGCGAACGGGUGCGUAACACGUGAGCAACCUGCCCCAAAGUUUGGAAUAACACCGGGAAACCGAUGCUAAUACCAAAUAUGCUCACACUAUCACAAGAUAGAGUGAGGAAAGUUUUUCGCUUUGGGAGGGGCUCGCGGCCUAUCAGCUUGUUGGUGAGGUAACGGCUCACCAAGGCAUCGACGGGUAACUGGUCUGAGAGGACGAUCAGCCACACUGGGACUGAGACACGGCCCAGACUCCUACGGGAG
rnacentral:rRNA from 1 species